GGGGGCGAAUGGGUUCGACGAUGGAGAAGCAGGGGAAACCUUGCAGGUCGAGCGCCUGUGGUCUCGUUAAUCCCGCAGGAAAAGAAGAAGUGCGAACACUUACGCAAUGGCUGCCUAAUAGAAAGGCUGCCCGUUUGUAGGAUUUGUGCCUCUCCGAAUCCUGCAAACGCCGAUCAGAGAGGACGCGUGGGGAAAUCGUGUUCAGGGGUUUUCCCACUAAGAAUUUACCUGAACUGGCUUCAGAGUAGCCACGCCUUUCGGCGACUCUGAAGCGAGAACAAAAGAAAGGAUAAGCCUGUAGAUAGGUUUCUCGGGCAUCCAUCGGACCCGGGUUCGAUUCCCGGCGCCUCCACCA
rnacentral:tmRNA from 1 species